UGGGGAAUAUUGCACAAUGGAGGGAACUCUGAUGCAGCGACGCCACGUGAACGAAGAAGGCUUUCGAGUCGUAAAGUUCUUUUAUAUGGGAAGAUAAUGACGGUACCAUAAGAAAAAGCCCCGGCUAACUACGUGCCAGCAGCCGCGGUAAUACGUAGGGGGCUAGCGUUGUCCGGAAUCACUGGGCGUAAAGGGUUCGCAGGCGGAAAUGCAAGUCAGGUGUAAAAGGCAGUAGCUUAACUACUGUAAGCAUUUGAAACUGCAUAUCUUGAGAAGAGUAGAGGUAAGUGGAAUUUUUAGUGUAGCGGUGAAAUGCGUAGAUAUUAAAAAGAAUACCGGUGGCGAAGGCGACUUACUGGGCUCAUUCUGACGCUGAGGAACGAAAGCGUGGGUAGCAAACAGG
rnacentral:rRNA from 4 species